CUCUUGCUCUCUCUCAAAAAUAAACAAACAUUAAUAAGUGAAUGACUGAUGAACAAACAAAUAAAUAAAAAGAACGUAAAUAAAUCUUCCAUAUUUCAAGAUGUUCCAAAGUUCCAGGCGGUCUGCCCUGGGGUCACUCACUGUUGGGCAGAUGAGAGGGAAUUAAGAGUCCACGGGCCAACAUGGUUCUCCACCUGCAGGGAUCCCGCAGCCUCUAGAGCCCGAGCUAGCGCCGCCCUCUGCCAAUGCUACUGGAAUCUCACGCCCCACUGUCCCGCGGCCCAGCAGGUAAGCUAGGCUCUGAAUGGUUUCUGUUGAUCAGCUUAACCCUCUAAACUUCUGUCUACCAUAAUCGCAAACUGGAAACUUUGGGGUACAGUAGGCAUUUCACUGCACAGGGACACUUAUAUAGUCUCAGGGGAACCAGUUCAGAGUUUAAGACUUAAAAAUCUAAAAAUUAUGGUGAACCAGCAAUCAUCUGCCAGAAAGCCAAAGGAUGGAGCAAGGGACCUUUGCAUCAAGAGUCAGGAGACGAGAAAGAGAAAGGCACAUUCACAGGUAAGCACAGGGACAGGGGGAAUGACUGCAAGGAGGUUCAGAGACAGCCCCCAAAGUGGACCUGCGGAGCAAGAGGGUCAUGCGGCCUCUUGGCUCCAUCACGAAGGGAUGGGCUAUGGAGGGACCAGAGGAAUCAUGGAGCCCACGGGGACUUAGAAAGAACCCCCACACAGGAAGGCUGGGAAAGAAAAUGCUACAGAAUCUUACUCAUGCACUCUGACACAACAGUACCUUUGCUGUUUUUCAGCAAAUGUUCUAGAGUCCAGCACAUCAGGAAACAAGUUUUCUUAAAAGUUUUAAAAUGAGUUCCCUUCUCCCAGGUGCAUUAUCUACAGUUAUUGGCCAAAGGCCCAGGCGGCACUUGUAUACUGAACUAGAAGGUAUCCUCAACUUCUUUGAGCCUCAGUUGUUCUACCUAUAAGAUGAAAGUACUAUGGCACACGAUGACAUGAGGAUUUGAUAACGCAAUUCAUGGAAAAUGCUGACCACACACGCCAGGCGUACAGGCAAAGGACUGAUCUCUUGAUCCCUUGUUUCUCAAACCCUUGAACCUCACCCAAGAAUGGUAAGUCCACCCUCCCAAUGGGACCAGAGUUACAGUAGUGGUGACUGUGGCCUUAUAGUGACCCCUCAUAAUUCACCGAGAAAAUCCACCCACGUUAGACUGCUAUGCAUUAUUCAGAGAGCAAGGGUCAUAAUUCCUCUUGCAAAUUUACAGUUAACCAUGGCAGGUUGUAAACAUGCAUCUAUCGCUAUUCCUCCCCCAAACCCCACUACGAUGACAGUAAACGAAUAAGCAAAAGAUAUAAAACCACGAAGACAACAAAAACACAGGCGCCAACAGCAGAGAAGAGAUGGCAACACCAUUCUGGAAGAUGAAACAUGGAUGGACGAGUAGUGACUAAUUCGCAGAGCAGCAGGACUGGCACUAAGUACCUGUGAGGAGGGGAGCUGAGGAGGAACAGACCCACUUGUGCUGCAGGUUCUCCAGAGGCUCAGGAGCCGGAAGCACCAGGUACCUUAGAGGGUGGGUGUGCAGCCAGGGUUGAAAAUGGGUGACUUGUUUGAAAGUGAGAAUUAAAAAAACCCAGUUUG